rnacentral:tRNA from 1 species
CAGGGUAUAGCUACAGCAGAAAAGCGCCUCCCUUACACUGAGGAGUCAUCCGUGCAAAUCGGAUUGCCCUGA